rnacentral:rRNA from 1 species
ACAGCAGCCGCCGCGGUAAUACAGAGGGUGCUAGCGUUAAUCGGAUUUACUGGGCGUAAAGCGUGCGUAGGCGGCUUCUUAAGUCGGAUGUGAAAUCCCUGAGCUUAACUUAGGAAUUGCAUUCGAUACUGGGAAGCUAGAGUAUGGGAGAGGAUGGUAGAAUUCCAGGUGUAGCGGUGAAAUGCGUAGAGAUCUGGAGGAAUACCGAUGGCGAAGGCAGCCAUCUGGCCUAAUACUGACGCUGAGGUACGAAAGCAUGGGGAGCAAACAGGAUUAGAUACCCCAGUAGUCCCUGUCUCUUAUAA